AAAUUCAUUAGAAGGGACCAUUUGCUUGACGAAGCUGAAGGUCUUUUACCAGAUGACGAGCUUACAUUAUUUUGUGAGAUGAGUGUGGUACUAGAUUCAGUAAACAUAUCAGGACAUACUAAUACAAAUACUUUGAAGGUGGCUGAGUGUCGACUAGGAGAAGAUUUAUGUAAUCUCUGUGAAAACACAAGAUGUACAGACUGUAGUUUUUUGUGAGAGGACAAGAAUUUAAAGCUCAUAAAUCUGCUGGUACCUCCAUCCCCAGUUUUUAAUGCCAUGUUUGAACAUGAAAUGGAAGAAAACAUAAAGAAUCGAGUGGAAAUAAAUUAUUUAGGCCCUGAUGUUUUUAAAGAAAUGAUGAGAUUCAUUAACACAGGGAAAUAACUAAACCUUGACAAAAUGGCUGACAACUUGUUGGCAGCUGCAGACAAACAUGCACUGGGAACAGCUGAAAGUCAUGUGUGAGGAAGCUUUGUGUAGUAAUCCCUCAGUAGAAAAUGUUGUUGAUACACUUGUCCUUGCAGAUUUGCACAUUGCAGAACAGUUGAAAGCAAAAGCCAUAGACAUUAUUAGUAGGUGCAGUGUACUUCGACAACUUGGGUGUAAACAUAAGAAAAACUGGAACAGCAACCAAGCAACCGACAUAAUGGAAACAUCAAGGUGGAAGUCCAUGAUUCAGUCUCACUCUUACUUAGCAGCAGAAGCCUUCUGAGCACUAGCAUCUGCACAGUGUCCACAGUUUGGCAUUCCACACACACGGCUAAAACAGUCCUAA
rnacentral:lncRNA from 1 species